rnacentral:rRNA from 1 species
AUCCUGGCUCAGGAUGAACGCUAGCGGCAGGCUUAACACAUGCAAGUCGAGGGGUAGGAGCAGCUUGCUGCUUUGAGACCGGCGCACGGGUGCGUAACGCGUAUACAAUCUACCUUUUACAGAGGGAUAGCCCAGAGAAAUUUGGAUUAAUACCUCAUAGUAUUUUCGAAUGGCAUCAUUUGAUUAUUAAAGUUCCAACGGUAAAAGAUGAGCAUGCGUCCCAUUAGUUAGUUGGUAAGGUAACGGCUUACCAAGACGAUGAUGGGUAGGGGUCCUGAGAGGGAGAUCCCCCACACUGGUACUGAGACACGGACCAGACUCCUACGGGAGGCAGCAGUGAGGAAUAUUGGACAAUGGGCGCAAGCCUGAUCCAGCCAUGCCGCGUGCAGGAAGAAGCAUCUAUGGUGUGUAAACUGCUUUUGUACGGGAAGAAACACUCCUACGUGUAGGAGCUUGACGGUACCGUAAGAAUAAGGAUCGGCUAACUCCGUG